GACAGAGGGGGCAAGCGGUGUCCGGAGUUACUGGGCGUAAAGGGCGCGGAGGCGGUCUGCGGCGUCGGCGCUGAAAGCGCCCCGCUUAACGGGGCGAGGCGUGCCGAUACGCGCAGACUUGAGGCGAGCAGAGGGUGGUGGAAUUCCGGGUGGAGCGGUGAAAUGCGUAGAGAUCCGGAGGAACGCCAGUGGGGAAGCCGGCCACCUGGGCUCGUCCUGACGCUGCGGCGCGACCGAGUGGGGAGCAAACCGG
rnacentral:rRNA from 1 species